AGAGCAGGGGCUGGGAAAGUCGCGGCUCUCCCCGCCCCCAGCUCCGGGCGGGCGUCGCCGGAAUCACCACCGUUUGCUACGCCCGCCCGAAGGCCGGGACUCAUUUGCUUCCCCGCGGCGCCCGGCGCGGGGGAAAGGCUGGCCGUGGAAGGCUGCAGCUCUUCUGGGCUAUUGCUCUGAAUACAAAAGAGCCUUUCUCACGCCCCUGCGGCCCUCCCGCCAGGGACUCCAGAUAGCAGGGACCUGGCUCCUUGAUGCUGGAGCCCACAGCUGUCGGGGCCACAGCACCAUUUCUGUGGUUCUUGCAGAGAAGUGUGGCUCCAGGAAGGCCAAUCCAUAAGCAGGCGAGAGAAUCAAGGCAAGUCCUCGCAUCACAACCCAUCAUUGCUUCUCUCCUGCCCCUUGCUGAAUCAUGCCUGAGUGGAGACAGAAUACAGCAAAUCACUGAUAUCACUGAUGAAAAUUUAGGCAGUACCAGAGAACUUUCCAAUCCGCCUAAGCCUCUUUGAGGCUUGUUCCCACAACAGCUGGAGAAAUCUAUACAAAAUGUUCAUGAUGCUUUAAGAAAGAAUGCUCAUCAGAAUAGUG